GGAUAACUACCCUUUAGGACUGGGAUAACUUUGGGAAACUGAGGAUAAUACUGGAUAGGCAAUUAUUCCUGGAAUGGUUUUUUGUUUAAAUGUUUUUUCGCCUAAGGAUGGGUCUGCGGCCGAUUAGGUAGUUGGUUAGGUAACGGCUUACCAAGCCAUUGAUCGGUACGGGUUGUGAGAGCAAGAGCCCGGAGAUGGAACCUGAGACAAGGUUCCAGGCCCUACGGGGUGCAGCAGGCGCGAAACCUCCGCAAUGUGAGAAAUCGCGACGGGGGGAUCCCAAGUGCCAUUCUUAACGGGAUGGCUUUUCAUUAGUGUAAAGAGCUUUUGGAAUAAGGGCUGGGCAAGACCGGUGCCAGCCGCCGCGGUAACACCGGCAGCUCUAGUGGUAGCAGUUUUUAUUGGGCCUAAAGCGUCCGUAGCCGGUUUAAUAAGUCUCUGGUGAAAUCCUGUAGCUUAACUGUGGGAAUUGCUGGAGAUACUAUUAGACUUGAGACCGGGAGAGGUUAGAGGUACUCCCAGGGUAGAGGUGAAAUUCUGUAAUCCUGGGAGGACCGCCUGUUGCGAAGGCGUCUAACUGGAACGGUUCUGACGGUGAGGGACGAAAGUUAGGGGCGCGAACCGGAUUAGAUACCCGGGUAGUCCUAACCGUAAACGAUGCGGACUUGGUGUUGGGGUGGCUUUGAGCUGCUCCAGUGCCGAAGGGAAGCUGUUAAGUCCGCCGCCUGGGAAGUACGGUCGCAAGACUGAAACUUAA
rnacentral:rRNA from 1 species